UGGGGGAUAUUGCACAAUGGGGGAAACCCUGAUGCAGCGACGCCGCGUGGAGGAAGAAGGUUUUCGGUAUUGUAAACUCCUGUCGUUAGGGACGAUAAUGACGGUACCUAACAAGAAAGCACCGGCUAACUACGUGCCAGCAGCCGCGGUAAAACGUAGGGUACAAGCGUUGUCCGGAAUUACUGGGUGUAAAGGGAGCGCAGGCGGGAAGGCAAGUUGGAAGUGAAAUCCAUGGGCUCAACCCAUGAACUGCUUUCAAAACUGUUUUCUUGAGUAGUGCAGAGGUAGGCGGAAUUCCCGGUGUAGCGGUGGAAUGCGUAGAUAUCGGGAGGAACACCAGUGGCGAAGGCGGCCUACUGGGGCACCAACUGACGCUGAGGCUCGAAAGUGUGGGUAGCAAACAGGAUUAGAUACCCUGGUAGU
rnacentral:rRNA from 1 species